rnacentral:rRNA from 1 species
CAGCCGCCGCGGGAAUACGUAGGUCCCGAGCGUUGUCCGGAUCUAUUGGGCGUAAAGCGAGCGCAGGCGGUUAGAUAAGUCUGAAGUUAAAGGCUGUGGCUUAACCAUAGUACGCUUUGGAAACUGUUUAACUUGAGUGCAAGAGGGGAGAGUGGAAUUCCAUGUGUAGCGGUGAAAUGCGUAGAUAUAUGGAGGAACACCGGUGGCGAAAGCGGCUCUCUGGCUUGUAACUGACGCUGAGGCUCGAAAGCGUGGGGAGCAAACAGGAUUAGAUACCCCAGUAGUCCCUGUCUCUUAUACU